CGGACGGGUGAGUAACGCGUGAGAAACUGCCUUCAGAUUGGGGACAACAGUUGGAAACGACUGCUAAUACCGAAUGUGCCGAAAGGUGAAAGAUUUAUCGUCUGAAGAUGUGCUCGCGUCUGAUUAGCUAGUUGGUGGGGUAAAAGCCUACCAAGGCAACGAUCAGUAGCUGUUCUGAGAGGAAGACCAGCCACACUGGGACUGAGACACGGCCCAGACUCCUACGGGAGGCAGCAGUGGGGAAUUUUCCGCAAUGGGCGAAAGCCUGACGGAGCAAUACCGCGUGUGGGAGGAAGGCCCUUGGGUCGUAAACCACUUUUCUUAGGGAAGAAGCUCUGACGGUACCUAAGGAAUAAGCCUCGGCUAACUCCGUGCCAGCAGCCGCGGUAAUACGGAGGAGGCAAGCGUUAUCCGGAAUUAUUGGGCGUAAAGAGUCCGUAGGUGGUUUCUCAAGUCUGCUGUUAAAGGCGGAAGCUCAACUUCCGACAGGCAGUGGAAACUGAGAGACUAGAGUAUGGUAGGGGUAGAGGGAAUUCCCAGUGUAGCGGUGAAAUGCGUAGAGAUUGGGAAGAACACCGGUGGCGAAAGCGCUCUACUGGGCCGAAACUGACACUGAGGGACGAAAGCUAGGGUAGCGAAAGGGAUUAGAUACCCCUGUAGUC
rnacentral:rRNA from 1 species